rfam:Nomascus leucogenys chromosome 3, whole genome shotgun sequence.
UAAUAGGCUUUUUUUAAAGCCCUUUAAUUUCAAAAUGUGAGUAAAAU